rnacentral:rRNA from 1 species
GAUGAACGCUGGCGGCGUGCCUAAUACAUGCGAGUCGAGCGAACAGACGAGGAGCUUGCUCCUCUGACGUUAGCGGCGGACGGGUGAGUAACACGUGGAUAACCUACCUAUAAGACUGGGAUAACUUCGGGAAACCGGAGCUAAUACCGGAUAAUAUAUUGAACCGCAUGGUUCAAUAGUGAAAGACGGUUUUGCUGUCACUUAUAGAUGGAUCCGCGCCGCAUUAGCUAGUUGGUAAGGUAACGGCUUACCAAGGCAACGAUGCGUAGCCGACCUGAGAGGGUGAUCGGCCACACUGGAACUGAGACACGGUCCAGACUCCUACGGGAGGCAGCAGUAGGGAAUCUUCCGCAAUGGGCGAAAGCCUGACGGAGCAACGCCGCGUGAGUGAUGAAGGUCUUCGGAUCGUAAAACUCUGUUAUUAGGGAAGAACAAAUGUGUAAGUAACUAUGCACGUCUUGACGGUACCUAAUCAGAAAGUCACGGCUAACUACGUG